AGGGGACAUCCGCGAUCGCCCCGUGAGGCUUCGGCCGAAGCAUCGC
rnacentral:ncRNA from 1 species